AGAGCACAGCUGGAGCCAGGCUCUGCGGUAGGUGCACUUUGUGCACAGAGCAUUGGUGAGCCCGGCACCCAGAUGACGCUGAAGACAUUCCACUUUGCAGAAGUAGCCUCCAUGAACAUCACCCUGGGUGUGCCUCGGAUCAAAGAAAUCAUCAACGCUUCCAAGGCCAUCAGCACUCCAAUUAUCACAGCACAGCUAGACAAGGAUGAUGACGCGGAUUAUGCAUGCCUGGUGAAGGGCAGGAUUGAGAAAACCCUCCUGGGGGA
rnacentral:lncRNA from 1 species